UCUCGCGAUCUUUGCGAAGUUCCGUUGAGGAAGAUGGCGGCGGCCGCGAGCACCCUUCUCUUCUUGCCGCCGGGGACUUCAGACUGAGCCUUCCUGGGAAAAGUGGGGAACAUUGGUGCCCUGCGUCCCGGGAGCCCAAGGCAGCUGGGUUCCCCGUUGUUUGUGGGGAAGGGCAUAUCUUCUUGUGGCGGAUCCAAGUCCUCCCCGCCGUCAGGAUGAAGGCUCAGGGGGAAACCGAGGAGUCGGAAAAGCUGAGUAAGAUGAGUUCUCUCUUGGAACGACUCCAUGCAAAAUUUAACCAAAAUAGACCUUGGAGUGAAACCAUUAAGCUUGUGCGUCAAGUCAUGGAGAAGAGGGUUGUGAUGAGUUCUGGAGGGCAUCAACAUUUGGUCAGCUGUUUGGAGACAUUGCAGAAGGCUCUCAAAGUAACAUCUUUACCAGCAAUGACUGAUCGCUUGGAGUCUAUAGCAAGACAGAAUGGACUGGGCUCUCAUCUCAGUGCCAGUGGCACUGAAUGUUACAUCACGUCAGAUAUGUUCUAUGUGGAAGUGCAGUUAGACCCUGCAGGACAGCUUUGUGAUGUAAAAGUGGCUCACCAUGGGGAGAAUCCUGUGAGCUGUCCAGAGCUUGUACAGCAAUUAAGGGAAAAAAAUUUUGAUGAAUUUUCUAAGCACCUUAAGGGUCUUGUUAACUUAUAUAACCUUCCAGGAGACAACAAACUGAAGACUAAAAUGUACUUGGCUCUUCAGUCCUUAGAACAAGAUCUUUCUAAAAUGGCAGUGAUGUACUGGAAAGCAACUAAUGCUGGACCCUUGGAUAAGAUUCUUCAUGGAAGUGUUGGUUAUCUCACUCCAAGGAGUGGGGGUCAUUUAAUGAACAUAAAGUACUAUGCCUCUCCGUCUGACCUGCUGGAUGAUAAAACUACAUCUCCCAUCAUUUUGCAUGAGAAUAAUGUUCCUCGAUCUUUGGGCAUGAAUGCAUCAGUAACAAUUGAAGGAACAUCUGCUAUGUAUAAACUCCCAAUUGCACCAUUAAUUAUGGGAUCACAUCCAGUUGAUAACAAAUGGACUCCUUCCUUCUCCACAGUCACCAGUGCCAACAGUGUUGAUCUUCCUGCCUGUUUCUUCUUGAAAUUUCCUCAACCAAUCCCAGUAUCUAGAACAUUUGUUCAGAAACUGCAGAACUGCACAGGAAUUCCAUUGUUUGAAACUCAACCAACUUAUGUACCCCUGUAUGAACUGAUCACUCAAUUUGAGCUGUCAAAGGACCCUGACCCUGUACCUUUGAAUCACAAUAUGCGGUUUUAUGCUGCUCUUCCAGGUCAGCAGCACUGUUAUUUCCUCAACAAGGAUGCUCCUCUUCCAGAUGGCCGAAGUCUGCAGGGAACUCUUGUUAGCAAAAUCACCUUUCAGCAUCCUGGCCGGGUUCCUCUCAUCCUAAAUCUGAUCAGACAUCAAGUGGCCUAUAAUACCCUAAUUGGAAGCUGUGUGAAAAGAACUAUUCUGAAAGAAGAUUCUCCUGGGCUCCUCCAGUUUGAAGUCUGUCCCCUAUCAGAAUCUCGUUUCAGUGUAUCUUUCCAGCACCCAGUGAAUGACUCCCUGGUGUGUGUGGUGAUGGAUGUGCAGGACUCGACACAUGUGAGCUGUAAACUCUAUAAAGGGCUUUCAGAUGCACUUAUCUGCACAGAUGACUUCAUUGCCAAGGUUGUUCAAAGAUGUAUGUCCAUCCCUGUGACGAUGAGGGCUAUUCGGAGGAAAGCUGAAACCAUUCAGGCCGACACCCCAGCACUGUCCCUCAUUGCAGAGACAGUUGAAGAUAUGGUGAAAAAGAACCUGCCCCCGGCUAGCAGCCCAGGGUAUGGCAUGACCACAGGCAACAACCCAAUGAGUGGUACCACUACACCAACCAACACCUAUCCGGGGGGUCCCAUUACCACCUUGUUUAAUAUGAGCAUGAGCAUCAAAGAUCGGCAUGAGUCGGUGGGCCAUGGGGAGGACUUCAGCAAGGUGUCUCAGAACCCAAUUCUUACCAGUUUGUUGCAAAUCACAGGGAACGGGGGGUCUACCAUUGGCUCGAGUCCGACCCCUCCUCAUCAUACGCCGCCACCUGUCUCUUCGAUGGCCGGCAACACCAAGAACCACCCGAUGCUCAUGAACCUUCUUAAAGAUAAUCCUGCCCAGGAUUUCUCAACCCUUUAUGGAAGCAGCCCUUUAGAAAGGCAGAACUCCUCUUCUGGCUCACCCCGGAUGGAAAUGUGUUCGGGGAGCAACAAGACCAAGAAAAAAAAGUCAUCAAGAUUACCACCUGACAAACCCAAGCACCAGACUGAAGAUGACUUUCAGAGGGAGCUAUUUUCAAUGGAUGUUGACUCACAGAACCCUAUCUUUGAUGUCAACAUGACAGCAGACACGCUGGAUACACCACAUAUUACUCCAGCUCCAAGCCAGUGUAGUACUCCCCCAACUACUUACCCACAACCAGUACCUCACCCCCAACCCAGUAUUCAAAGGAUGGUCCGACUAUCCAGUUCAGACAGCAUUGGCCCAGAUGUAACUGAUAUUCUUUCAGACAUUGCAGAAGAAGCCUCUAAGCUUCCCAGCACUAGUGAUGAUUGCCCACCCAUUGGCACUCCUGUUCGAGAUUCUUCAAGCUCUGGGCAUUCUCAGAGUGCUCUCUUUGACUCUGAUGUUUUUCAAACUAAUAAUAAUGAGAAUCCAUACACUGAUCCAGCUGACCUUAUUGCAGAUGCUGCUGGAAGCCCCAGUAGUGACUCUCCUACCAAUCAUUUUUUUCCUGAUGGAGUAGAUUUCAAUCCUGAUUUAUUGAACAGCCAGAGCCAGAGUGGUUUUGGAGAAGAAUAUUUUGAUGAAAGCAGCCAAAGUGGAGAUAAUGAUGAUUUCAAAGGAUUUGCAUCUCAGGCACUAAAUACUUUGGGGGUGCCAAUGCUUGGAAGUGAUAAUGGGGAAACCAAGUUUAAGGGCAAUAGCCAAGCUGACACAGUUGAUUUCAGUAUUAUAUCAGUAACUGGUAAGGCUCUGGGUCCUGCAGAUCUCAUGGAGCAUCACAGUGGUAGUCAGAGUCCUUUAUUGACCACUGGGGACUUAGGGAAAGAAAAGACUCAAAAGAGGGUUAAGGAAGGCAAUGGCACCAGUAAUAGUAGUUUGUCAGGGUCGGGAAUGGACAGCAAACCAGGGAAGCGCAGUCGGACCCCUUCUAAUGAUGGGAAAAGCAAAGAUAAGCCUCCAAAGCGGAAGAAAGCAGACACUGAGGGAAAAUCUCCAUCUCAUAGUUCUUCUAACCGACCUUUCACCCCCCCUACCAGUACAGGUGGAUCUAAAUCUCCAGGCAGUUCAGGAAGAUCUCAGACUCCCCCAGGUGUUGCCACACCUCCCAUUCCAAAAAUCACUAUUCAGAUUCCUAAGGGAACAGUGAUGGUGGGCAAGCCGUCCUCUCACAGUCAGUAUACCAGCAGUGGUUCCAUGUCUUCCUCAGUAAGCAAAAGCCACCAUAGCCAUUCUUCCUCCUCCUCUUCCUCGUCUUCUGCUUCCACCUCAAGCAAGGUGAAAAGCAGCAAAUCAGAGGGUUCUUCAAGUUCCAAAUUAAGUAGCAGUAUGUAUUCUAGCCAAGGGUCCUCUGGAUCCAGCCAGUCCAAAAAUUCAUCCCAGUCUGGGGGGAAGCCAGGCUCCUCUCCCAUUACUAAGCAUGGACUGAGUAGUGGCUCCAGCAGUACGAAGAUGAAACCUCAAGGGAAGCCAUCAUCUCUUAUGAACCCUUCUUUAAGUAAACCAAACAUAUCCCCCUCUCAUUCAAGGCCAACUACAAGCUCUGACAAACUUGCCUCUCCAAUGAAGCCUGUUCCUGGGACUCCCCCAUCUAAAGCCAAGUCCCCUAUCAGUUCAGGCUCUGGUGGUUCUCAUAUGCCUGGAACUAGUUCAAACUCUGGCAUGAAAUCAUCUUCAGGGUUAGGAUCCUCAGGCUCAUUGUCUCAGAAAAAUCCUCCAUCAUCUAAUUCUUGUACAGCAUCUUCUUCCUCCUUUUCCUCAAGUGGCUCUUCCAUGUCAUCCUCUCAGAACCAGCAUGGGAGUUCCAAAGGGAAAUCUCCCAGCAGAAAUAAAAAGCCGUCCUUGACAGCUGUCAUAGAUAAACUGAAGCAUGGUGUUGUCACCAGUGGCCCUGGGGGUGAAGACCCAAUGGAUGGCCAGAUGGGGGUGAGCACAAAUUCUAGCCAUCCCAUGUCCUCCAAACAUAACAUGUCAGGAGCAGAGUUCCAGGGCAAGCGUGAGAAAAGUGAUAAAGACAAAUCAAAGGUUUCCACUUCGGGGGGCUCAGUAGAUUCUUCUAAGAAGACCUCAGAGUCAAAAAAUGUAGGAAGCACUGGGGUGGCAAAAAUUAUCAUCAGCAAGCAUGAUGGAGGCUCCCCCAGCAUUAAAGCCAAAGUGACUUUGCAGAAACCUGGGGAAAGUAGUGGAGAAGGGCUCAGGCCUCAGAUAACCUCCUCCAAAAACUAUGGUUCUCCACUUAUCAGUGGUUCUACUCCAAAGCAUGAGCGAGGCUCUCCCAGCCAUAGUAAGUCACCAGCAUAUACCCCCCAGAAUCUGGACAGUGAAAGUGAGUCAGGCUCCUCUAUAGCAGAGAAAUCUUAUCAGAACAGUCCCAGCUCUGAUGAUGGUAUCCGACCACUUCCAGAAUACAGCACAGAGAAGCAUAAGAAGCACAAAAAGGAAAAGAAGAAAGUAAAAGACAAAGAUCGGGACCGGGAACGGGACAAAGACCGAGACAAGAAAAAAUCACAUAGCAUUAAACCAGAGAGUUGGUCUAAGUCACCCAUCUCUUCUGAUCAGUCUUUGUCUAUGACAAGUAACACAAUCUUAUCUGCUGAUAGGCCCUCAAGGCUCAGUCCUGACUUUAUGAUUGGGGAGGAAGAUGAUGAUCUCAUGGAUGUGGCCCUGAUUGGCAAUUAGGGACCUUAUUUUUUAAAACAAACAUGACCAGAGGAAAAAUGAGUUUAUAGGCAAACUGCCAGAAGGGGUGAGACAUAGGUCUGAUUUGUGCAUAAGAAUCUUAAGUGGCAUGUCUUUGACACCAAGUUGAGUGAGUUUAGAAAGGCAUAUCCAGACCCUACUAAAGAAACCAGAGGGUUUAAUUAUGGUUACCAAGAAUUCGUUGUUCUUUUGCUAGAAAGAAAUGUUAAACUUAACAAAGGGAAGGGGUGGGUGGUAGGGGCACAGGGAGAUGGAAGGGUGGGAAACAAUUUUGUGGGAAAUAUUCAUGUAUAUUUUUUCUCCCUUUUUCCAUUUUUAGGCCCUGUUUUAAAUUCAUUUUAGUGCAUGUAAUUUGAAAGGGCUGGGCAGAAAAUGAAAAAGCAAUACAUUCCUUGAUGCAUUUGCAUAAAGGUUGUUCACUUUUGGGUAGUUGUCCAUUUGAAGCAUGGGCAAAUGAAGGACUUUGGUUAUUUUGGACACUUAAGUAAUGUUUGGUGUCUGUUUCUUAGGAGUGAUGGGGGAGGUAAGAUUAUUUUAGCUAUUUAUUUGUAAUAUUUUAACCCUUUUAUCUGUUUGUUUUUAUACAGUAUUUCUUUUUAAACCUAUGAGGUUUAGGGCUCAGAAUGAUAGAAGGUAGAAGAGCAAGGCUUAUUUUGUGGUUAGGAGCUUACAGCUUGUGCUGAGACUCUUAAACAUCAAGCCCAGGAGUAUUAACCCUCCUUUGGAGUUAAAUAGAAAAACCAAAACAAUUAUUUUUAUUUUAGAAUGUUUUUCAUUAUUGGGUUCAUACAUCAAAGGACUAUUAGGAGCAACCUCCCUGUGGAGGUACUGAUUUGUAAUAUUUUUCCUUUAAAAAAAAAAAAAAGCUGGGGUGGCUUUUUGGAAUGUAAACAUGUUUCUGGAUGUAAUAAGGUUUAAUGUGGGACAGCUUUCCUGACCAGUGGCAUGAAAACCAUUACAGAAUUAGUAGUUCUCCUAUUUCCACAAUGUGCCAAAAGUCUGCAUCCCAGCAUUUUGUUUGCAGGAGAACUGAUGCCAUUCCUAAAAGCUGGGCUCUUUGUUUUUCUUCAUUACAAGGAGAAGGAGUCCAGACUUUAAUCACUCCACUGUAUGCUCCCUGAGAUAAAACAGUAAAAAAUAUGCAGCCAUAGUUCACUUAAAACAAUUUCAAGCUCACUUGAAAUAAUGGGGGCCUGAAAUGCUAGGUGAGCAUGAAGAUAAACCCUUGCUACUAUGUAGCAACACAAUUGGACCUUUUUGGAGAUAAUAGGUCUGAGUCUGGAUUCUGCGGGACAUCAAUACGAAGCCUUCUCAUAAAUAUAGACAUCCAGGAGACCAUUUUGAGUGCAACAGAAGUUCUCAGUAUUUGGAGGGUCCUCUCAAAAUUCUGCGGCCUUACUUUGAUUUUGACACCUGCACUGUGCCAUUCCUGAUGAUUCCAUUCAGGAUUUGUAUCAGCGGGACGGAGCAUGGUCCCCAGCACAACUCUUCUGGAUUUAAAAAAAAAAAAAGCCAGAUCAAAGAAUCCCGAGUUAGGAUCUGGAUGAAGGAUAAGCCCCUGAAUUGUCGAUGGGCACACCCCACACACUGACCAAGCAUCUGAACUUGCUUAACAGGGAGCCGGGGCUAAACUGCUUCACCCUGCCUGAGAACCAGGGAGCACUGCAUUUCUCCACAGGGUGGAGGAGAAGAGACAGAAUAAACCAAGCCUGGGACACCUCCCUCCUGUCUAGGUGUACUCAUUCUCCUGUUUCAAAAG